rnacentral:rRNA from 1 species
UAUCGCUUCGUCUCAAAGAUUAAGCCACGCAUCGUCUAAGCAUAAACUGAACUAAAGUGAGGCCGCGAAUAGCUCAUUACAACAGCCGUUCGUUUUCUUGGAUUCUCCGCUUCUACUUCGGAUAACUCGUGGUAAUUCUAGAGCUAAUACACGCAAUCGAGCUCCGAUCUUUUCGUGACGAGCGCAUUUAUUAGUUCAAAACCAAUCAGCGCUUGCGCUGUGGUUUGGUGAAUCUGAAUAACUGAGCAGAUCGCUUCGGUCUUUGCACCGGCGACGUAUCCUUCAAGUGUCUGCCUUAUCAACUUUCGAUGGUAGUUUAUGUGCCUACCAUGGUUGUAACGGGUAACGGAGAAUUAGGGUUCGACUCCGGAGAGGGAGCCUGAGAAACGGCUACCACUUCUAAGGAAGGCAGCAGGCGCGCAAAUUACCCACUCUCGGCACGAGGAGGUAGUGACGAAAAAUAACGAGACAGUUCUCUAUGAGGUCUGUCAUCGGAAUGGGUACAAUUUAAACCCUUUAACGAGGAUCUAUU